GCUGCAUGGCUGUCGUCAGCUCGUGCCGUGAGGUGUUGGGUCAGUCCCGCAACGAGCGCAACCCUCGCCCUUUGUUGCCAUCGGGUAAAGCCGGGCACUCUAAGGGGACUGCCAGCGACAAGUUGGAGGAAGGAGAGGAUGACGUCAAGUCAUCAUGGCCUUUAUGCCUAGGGCCACACACGUGCAACAAUGGCCGGUACAGACGGAGGCAAUGCCGAGAGGCGGAGCAAACCCGAGAAAACCGGUCCCAGUUCGGAUUGAGGUCUGCAACUCGACCUCAUGAAGUCGGAAUCGCUAGUAAUCGCAUAUCAGAACGAUGCGGUGAAUACGUUCCCGGGCCUUGUACACACCGCCCGUCACACCACGAAAGUUUGUUGUACCCGAAGUCGGUGCCUUAACCUCGCAAGAGGAGAGAGCCGCCCAAGGUAUGGCCGAUGAUUGGGGUGAAGUCGUAACAAGGUA
rnacentral:rRNA from 1 species